rnacentral:rRNA from 1 species
AGGCUACGAUCAGUAGGGGUUCUGAGAGGAAGGUCCCCCACAUUGGAACUGAGACACGGUCCAAACUCCUACGGGAGGCAGCAGUGAGGAAUAUUGGUCAAUGGACGAGAGUCUGAACCAGCCAAGUAGCGUGCAGGAUGACGGCCCUAUGGGUUGUAAACUGCUUUUAUAAGGGAAUAAAGUGAGCCUCGUGAGGCUUUUUGCAUGUACCUUAUGAAUAAGGACCGGCUAAUUCCGUGCCAGCAGCCGCGGUAAUACGGAAGGUCCGGGCGUUAUCCGGAUUUAUUGGGUUUAAAGGGAGCGUAGGCCGGAGAUUAAGCGUGUUGUGAAAUGUAGAUGCUCAACAUCUGCACUGCAGCGCGAACUGGUUUCCUUGAGUACGCACAAAGUGGGCGGAAUUCGUGGUGUAGCGGUGAAAUGCUUAGAUAUCACGAAGAGCUCCGAUUGC